CGGGGAGGUUUGGCACCUCGAUGUCGGCUCAUCACAUCCUGGGGCUGUAGUAGGUCCCAAGGGUUGGGCUGUUCGCCCAUUAAAGUGGUACGCGAGCUGGGUUCAGAACGUCGUGAGACAGUUCGGUUCCUAUCCGUCGCAGGCGUAGGAAAUUUGAGAAGACCUGUCCUUAGUACGAGAGGACCGGGAUGGACGUACCUCUGGUGUACCAGUUGU
rnacentral:rRNA from 1 species